GAGGGUUUCGAGUGGCUCGGACCGGGCGGCACUCUCGAGGGGGAUGUUGCCGGAGCGGUAGCUGUGGAGGUUGAAGGAGCGGAGGCGGUCGAGGACGAGGGACGGAGAGCGGAAGAGCUUGCGGGGGUCGCCAGCACCGUCGGCGUCGCGGUGGAUCACUUUGGACGUGACGGCGAUGGUUCCGAUGACGAGGUUGAGAAGCACGAAAAGGACGGUGGGGGUGAGCCAGCCGUGGACCAACGCCCAGAUCGACG
rnacentral:lncRNA from 1 species